rnacentral:lncRNA from 1 species
AGCAGCGCGUCCGCAAAAGCAGGGCAGACGUCGCGGAUGGUCUCGUCAAACGGGGUCACAGACGCCGCGUCGCCCGUCAUGAGCCAGCGCGCGCCGGCAUCGGUCAGCGGCCGGGCGAUGCUAAAGUCGGUGGCAAGCACCUGAUCGAUGGCGUGCAGUGGGAGCGACCAGUCACGCAGGGCCUCGGCGACGGCAUCGCGCACGCGCGUCCGAUCCUCGCGCACCAACGCCACCAUGGUGCCGUGCAGAUCGAGUUUGUCGUCGGCAUUCGCCUCGGCCUUGGUCGCCUCGGCCUCGAUCGACAUGGCGAGGUCGAUCAGGCGAUCACGCAGGGUCAUGUAGUCGUUGACCGACUGCGGCGAGGCACCCGCAGAGCCCGAAGAAGCGCCCAUGGGCAUCAGCGGGGCGAUCACGUUGGCGCGGCCGAGAAGAUGGCGGAUGCUCGUCUGGGCAAAAAGGACGUCAGACAAGUAGACGGCGAGGAUCGACUCGGCGCGGUCGAGCGCGGCGUCCUUGGCCAGCGACGCGUAGCAGCGGUCGACGGCGUGACACGCUCCGACCGCAUCGAUUGCCGGCCACAUGCGCACGACCUCGACCAACGUGGGCUCUGCGCCCGCCGACGGCGACAAUCCGAUGAGUUCCAUGAAGCGAUCGGCGUCGCUCGGGGCUACGGCCCGCGGCAGGUCCACCUCGAUCGCAGACGCACAUUUCCAGACAAACACCCUGUCGGUGAGCGCCUUGACCGCGCAUUCGGCAAGGCAGCCGGCGCGGUAGACGUUGAAGCGCUCCAGCGGGACGUCAAAGGUCUUGAGCACAUCGCCGGCGGGCGACAACAGCCUCACCUUGACGGUGUGCGUCGUGGCGUCGACAGGCAGCGGAGCGGUCAUGGUCAGAGGCUAGCGGGGCAAAGGCACGGAUGCGGCGGUGGCGGUGGUGGUCGAAAGUAGUAUCCGAUGCUCUAGGCUCGGUGACUGCGGGGGAUACAUUUUUGAAGCCCUGCUGCGCCUUUUUUAUACUCGGUGGCGCCUACGCCUGAAGCCAACCACGUCGUCCGUGGCUGGCGGGACGCUCUUUUUUUUCGCCACAAAAAAAUCAACCUAUCCAAUAGAGAGCACGGCCUGGGUUUGGGCCGCGGAAGAAAAAAACCCGAGCAGCGCCAGAGGGCGGUCCCCCCAUGCAUGGACCGCUCUCUGGGGCCGCAACACAAAAAUACCGUCCGACUUUUUGUCCGAUGUCGUGCGCCAAAGAGCACAGCGAUGCUUUCCGCCCGUGGCAAAUACAGAAUUCUUUUUUUUUUAUUGAGAAAAAAUCCCCACAAGAAAAAAGAAAAAGGAU